rnacentral:rRNA from 1 species
UGGGGAAUUUUGGACAAUGGGGGAAACCCUGAUCCAGCCAUCCCGCGUGUGCGAUGAAGGCCUUCGGGUUGUAAAGCACUUUUGGCAGGAAAGAAACGUCAUGGGUUAAUACCCCGUGAAACUGACGGUACCUGCAGAAUAAGCACCGGCUAACUACGUGCCAGCAGCCGCGGUAAUACGUAGGGUGCAAGCGUUAAUCGGAAUUACUGGGCGUAAAGCGUGCGCAGGCGGUUCGGAAAGAAAGAUGUGAAAUCCCAGAGCUCAACUUUGGAACUGCAUUUUUAACUACCGGGCUAGAGUGUGUCAGAGGGAGGUGGAAUUCCGCGUGUAGCAGUGACAUGCGUAGAUAUGCGGAGGAACACCGAUGGCGAAGGCAGCCUCCUGGGAUAACACUGACGCUCAUGCACGAAAGCGUGGGGAGCAAACAUG